rnacentral:rRNA from 1 species
CAGUGGGGAAUAUUGCACAAUGGGCGCAAGCCUGACGGAGCAAUGUCGCGUGGAGGUGGAAGGCCUACGGGUCGUCAACUUCUUUUCUCGAAGAAGAAACAAUGACGGUAUCUGAGGAAUAAGCAUCGGCUAACUCUAUGCCAGCAGUCGCGGUAAGACAGAGGAUGCAAGUGUUAUCCGGAAUGAUUGGGCGUAAAGCGUCUGUAGGUGGCUUUUCAAGUCCGCCGUCAAAUCCCAGGGCUCAACCCUGGACAGGCGGUGGAAACUACCAAGCUGGAGUACGGUAGGGGCAGAGGGAAUUUCCGGUGGAGCGGUGAAAUGCAUUGAGAUCGGAAAGAACACCAACAGCGAAAGCACUCUACUGGGCCGACACUGACACUGAGAAACGAAAGCUAGGGAAGCAAAUGGGAUUAGA